UUUAUUAGCUCAAAUCAAUUGUCAAUUCUCAUAAAAACGUCUACCAGAAUAUGUAAAGAACAUAGGCCUAUAUAUAGAAGUUUUGUAAUCCUACUAACAUUAGGAGUGGGAACCUUAAAUUCAAUACUAAUUAGAAAUCACAAUCACAUGAGUUCCUAAAUAAAAUAAAACUCUACUUAUAUUUCUUUUUUAAAAUAAGUAGUCCUAAAAUCUC
rnacentral:misc_RNA from 1 species